AGACCCGCUGCCGGGCCGGGGCUGGGCCGGAGCGGCGGCGCCUGGAUGCCGGCCCGGGGCUGGGCCGGAGACUGGCGCCCGCCCCGAAGCGACUUUCGGUCCCCGACCCGCUCCGCCUGACCCCUAUGAUGAAGAGGGCGUCCACUGGAGUUCUUGCUGUCGACAUCUUUGACAAGUUCAACUUCACGGGAGCCAGAGUCCCAUGGUUCGACGCCAUUCAUGAAGAAUUCCCCAGGGAGCUGGAGUCCUCCAUCUCCUUCCCAGCCAACUUCUUCAAACCACCUGAAGAAAAAGAAGGCCCCCUGGUAAGGCCAGCCAGCCGGAGGACCACCCCGCAGACCACACGCCCAGGGCCUGGCACCGAGGGGGAGGCCCCGAUCAGCAGGUGAAAGCGACACCCUGAUGACACUGGCUAGUUCACCUUCACUCUGGUCAUCGUUUACUGUACCCCGGGGCAGCUCCCGCCUGAGCCCUAUGACCCCAACCGCCGCAGCCUCUGGCUGCCUCACUGGCCCAUCAUUAAUACGUCGAUGGUGAGCGCACUGGUGUACAGCGAGGGGGCUCCACUUCCGAGACCCCUGGAGAGGCCCGUCCUGGUGGAGUUCACCCUGCUGGAGAUGGAGAAGCGAACCAAGCCUGUCUGUGUGUUCUGGAACCAUUCCCUGGCGUAAAUGUGAUGCCGGGAGUUCUGCAUCUUCAUGUGAGGGCUUUGCCAAGACACAGAGAACCCGCAGGGUUGUUGGCUCAGCGGCAGAUCGUCCCACGGGGACAGUCUCUUGUGGUCUGUGUCUCCCCCUUCAGCCCCCUGUGGGGCAGUGAGCCUCCUGCUCUGCUUCUGUGGGUGCAUCAGAGCCCCCCCAGAUGCCCACACGCAGACGCGCACAGGCCUGCACGUGGAAACACAGACAUGCGCACACGCAGGCCCACACACAGACGCACACAGAGCUGCACGUGGAGACACGUGCGCACACGCAGGCCCACACGCAGGCCCACACACAGGUGCACGCGGACCUGCACGUGGAGACACAGAUGUGUGCACAUGCAGGCCCACACACAGGUGAGCGUGGACCUGUGUGAACAGAUGCGCGCAGACCUGCACGUGGAGACACAGACAUGCAGGCGCACAAAGAGAUCCCUCAAGGCUGACACCCAGGAAGGGGCCUCUCACUUGUGGGACUCCCGAGAUGCAGUGGCCAACACGAGUGUAGUGCCCAGUUCACUGCUGGAUAAGACAGAGGCCUGUUCUGGUCACACAUGGGAGGCAGAACCCAGAGACUGGGCCCAGGAGCCCUUCUGCUGACAGUGGGAACUCCCAGCUACGUGUGGGGGUCCCCAUACCAGACAAAGGUCCCUGACCUUAGUCUUGCCCGAGAGGCCGACACAGCCCAGCUUUGGGGUCUGGCUUUACCCACAAGAGGCCACACCUUGCCACAGCACUGUUUAUCUGGCCUGUUUCAGAAGCACCGUCAGAGUGGCGAAGGCAGGAGGUGGUGCACGAGAGUCUACGUUCUAGCAUCCAUUCAAGUGAGGGAAAGGCGUUUCGUACUUAGAAAAAUGCAAAAUUAAUGAUUCUCACCCACACAUGAGACUGUGGAUUCACCCAUGUAUGAGAUAGUGGAUUCAGAGCCAUGCUGUGGCUCUCAUCUGCUGGGAGCCAGUAGUGUUUGUGCUUUGGUUUUGCUUUUUUAGCUACAUGGUUUAUGUGAGGUGCGGACUUACUUGAGUUGCUCUGUCUUUACAGGGAGCUUGCUUUUUCUCUGCUGGUUUGUUUUCACUUUUGCUGUCUCUGUUUAGAAGAAAACAUUAGAACUGGGGUGUGGUGGAAGGAUGGGAGCACAAUCUGGGAGGGGAAGACCUGCUCUCUCUCCACAUACCAGGAGGGAGUGGCAGGAAGGGGAGACACUGUGCCGGACUCAGGGAGUCAAGAGCGUGAGCACCCCCAGGCUUCAAUCUGCUGAACGUUGUGCAUCUGGGGGCGCCCGUGCAGCAGGAACACUCUCCCCAUCACAAUUCCUCUGGGCACAGUGGAGAGCCAUGAGUGGGGGCUGUCCUGGGGGCUGCGCUAUGGUGAGUGAGCCCACGCCAGGAGCCAGUUCAGCCCAGCCUCAUUCUUCUCCUGCUUCUUUGCUUUCCAAGUUCUAGUUCAUAAGCAACCAGCACAGUACCUGGAAUGUAAGAGGCGCUUGGCUUAUAAAAGAGAGAAGAAAGGAACCCCUUUCACCACGAGGGACGUCAGGCCCAGCUCUCUGUCCCGGGCAUUCAUCUUUUUUCCGGCAAUUAGCUUCAGCUCUAAUGACCUGCUGUCUGCUUUAUGUUGCACCUAUGAUUUCCAGAUUGUAAAGUUUGUGGCAAAUGUAUUAACGUUCACAUCCCAUUUACAGAUUAGCAAACUAAGGAUCUGAGAGGUUAUGUGAUUUUCCCAGUCUGGCGGAGGGCAGGGCCCUGUCAGAAGCCGAGACACACCUCGUAACAGCUUGUUAUUUGGGGCUUCCCAUCAGUGAGGCAGGAGUCAUAAUGGGGCCCUGGCUUCUGGGCAAUUCCCAUAAAACAUUGUGCCACCUGAAGAUGGAAGUGUCAGAGGAAGGCGAGAUGUUAUUUCUGAAAGCAUCUACCCUCAGAAAGAGACAGAGGAGUGCAUCGCAGCUGUGUGAACCCGGGGUGGUGGUGGUUCCAGCAGCGGGGCACGUGGUGGACGCAAGACGGCCCCGUUUGAGUUUUGCUGCUAGGUGACAUGUAGAACUUGAACUUCAGAGGGUGCUCCUUGGAGGCCCUGAUGAGAGAGACACAGAAGGGAAGGGAGACUGUUCCCAUGGUCCUGCCUCUGCGGCAGCGAGCCUGCUGCUCUUGCAGCUGGGUGGCUGUUCGGUGCAGGGGGCCGGUGAGGAACACGGUGGGGAGCAGCCUGCGAGGGCGCCGGGCUUUCAGCACU
rnacentral:lncRNA from 1 species